UUAUAUAAAGGAGAAGCGAGGGGCGUGUAGGUGGCGCCUCUCACAUCGCUCCGUUAUAUUUUUCAAAAUUUUUGGAAUUUUUGGAUGAAAAAUAUCAAAAAUUAGAACUACCUUUUUUAGUUCCGGAUAUACUAGAAGUAAGUUCCAGAAUCUGAUUUUGUUUUAGAUUAUUUAUGGAAUAUAGUAGCUUGAAAGUUCUAAUUUGAUUUUGUUUCAGAUUAUUUAAUUAUGGGAAAAAAGAUUUAUGGAAUAUAGUAGUUUGAAAAUUUUAAUAUGAUAUUGUUUCAGAUUAUUUAAUUAUGGGAAANGUCUAAACACAAUCUCCUCUCUCUCAAUACCACAACCAUAUACUUAUAUAAAGGAGAAGCGAGGGGCGUGUAGAUGGCGCCUCUCACAUCGCUCCGUUCUAUUUUUUUAAUUUUCUGAAAUUUUUGGAUGAAAAAUAUCAAAAAUUAGAACUAUCUUUUUUAGUUUCGGAUAUAUUAGAAGCAAGUUUCAGAUUCUGAUUUUGUUUUGGAUUAUUUAUGGAAUAUAGUAGCUUGAAAGUUUUAAUCUGAUUUUGUUUCAGAUUAUUUAAUUAUGGAAAAGAGUAGCAAAGUCUCUGUGCACGUAGAAAUACCCCUAUAGGUUGUAGGGUUUUGGAUCAUCCAAACACAACCUCCGCUCUGUCAAUACCACAACCCUACCUCUUUUUGGUGAUAGUUCUCUUGCUCGAUCUCUAAUUCGGUGGUGCCGUCUUCUACGAUGAUAUAUGUUUGUUGGUUAUUCUUUUAUAAUAUUUGUAUGAAAAUAUUAUUUAUGCAAUACUUCGACAAUAUAUGUUUGCUCGGUUCAAGCACCUUUUAAGUGAAGGCAGUAUUAAAAAAAUAAAGGUUGUUGCAAGCAAAGGUAGUUAUAGACCGCUAUGUGGUAGUCGACAAAUCCAAACACGGGAGAGGAAUAUAGUCUUGACAUGAUAUUGAUGGAUGAUUUCAAUAAAUUAAUUAUUAGUGAUGUAUGUUUGUUGGUUAUUCUUUUAUAAUAUUUGUUUUGUUCAUUAUUCGUGCAUUAUCUGUUUGCUCCGUUUAAGCAAUUUUUAAGUGAAGGCAAAGAUUGUUACAAGUAAAGGUAGUUAUAGACCGUUAUCUCACGGAUUUAAGUUGGAUGUUUUUGUGCACAGUCAAUUCAAAAAAAAAUUGGAGGAAGGUGACAAUGUAUAAACAUGAUUUUUUUUUUUAAAAAUACAAAUAAAAUUAAGAUUCGUCGUGGUUUAAAUUAUUAAUUACAUGUAGAAAUUUAUUUUCAUUUUUUCACCAUGAAUUAUAGUUCAAUUUUGCAAUUUUAUAUAUUAGUCUCGGUAUUACAUCAAGAUUUUUAUAAAAUAAAAUUUAUUUUAUCCUACAAAUAUUAAUUUUGAAUUAAUAAUAUACUGUUUAUAGACAGCCACAAACUUAUUUUAUUCUACAAAUUUUAAUAUUAAAUUAUUAAUAUAAUUUUUAUAGCCCGCCGCAACGCGCGGCUUCUCAACUAGUACUUAUAUAAAGGAGAAGCGAGGGGUGUAGGUGGCGCCUCUCACAUCGCUCCGUUUUAUUUUUCUAAUUUUCUGGAAUUUCUGGAUGAAAAAUAUUAAAAAUUAGAACUACCUUUUUUAGUUUCGGGUAUAUUAGAAGCAAGUUUCAGAAUCUGAUUUUGUUUCAAUUUUGUUUCAGAUUAUUUAUGGAAUAUAGUAUCUUGAAAGUUUUAAUCUGAUUUUGUUUCAGAUUAUUCAAUUAUGGGAAAGACAGAUUAUUUAUGGAAUAUAGUAGCUUGAAAAUUUUAAUCUGAUUUUGUUCAGAUUAUUUAAUUAUGGGAAAGAGUAGCAAACAAGUCUCUCUCCACCUAUAAAUACCCGUAUAGAUCGUAAUAUUUUGGAUCAUCAAAACACAAC
rnacentral:lncRNA from 1 species